UUUCCGUAGGUGAACCUGCGGAAGGAUCAUUGUCGACGCGUUGCGAGAACGAAGCGAAUCGGUGAACAUAUCGUAGGGUGGCCUAGGAUCGCAGUUGUUUGCCUCUGUCAGGCCCCCUAUCCCUUUGCGCUCGUCUUUCCCGCCAAGCCGGGUCAGCACGAGCCUCCAACGAACCCUCGACGCGGGUCGCGUCAAGGACUACCGGAUGGACCGUCACAGUGCGCGACCCUAGCUUGGCCUCGCCUCGGUGCGAUGCGCCUGCUGCUUCGCGUCCCUGUCGGAACAAGAUAACGACUCUCGGCAACGGAUAUCUAGGCUCUCGCAUCGAUGAAGAACGUAGCGAAAUGCGAUACUUGGUGUGAAUUGCAGAAUCCCGUGAACCAUCGAGUCUUUGAACGCAAGUUGCGCCCGGAGCCGUCAGGCCGAGGGCACGCCUGCCUGGGCGUCGCACGUACAUUCGCUCCUCUGCCUGCACCUUCUCGGAUGCGCGGUUCGUGGAGUUGGAUUUUGGCCAUCCGUGCGGUGGAAUCGCGGUUGGCCCGAUGUCUGCUUGCAUGCGCGUCCGCAUCACGGCGGGUGGUGAUCAUUCCUGAGUUGCCCGUGUACGUCGUGAUUGCUGCGCUAACUGUUCCCCUUGGUCGCCCGGCGGAUUAAGCGCACGUCCCUGUGCCUUCCCCAACCGUACGGACCCCAGGUCAGGCGAGGCCACCCGCUGAGUUUAA
rnacentral:rRNA from 1 species